UCAGGUUAGGAAAUCCUAAAUACUCAAUUCAACAUUGGUUAUAAACUGUUAGCCUAUGUCUGUUACCUAGCAACCGAUGCCACUUUUCUCAUCUCGCUGAGCUAAACGGCUUUUAAUCGCUGUUUUUGGUCGUUUUUUUAAUGAAACAUACACUGAAAAUGGAGCAGAAACAACAACUAUCAUUGAAUAUCAAUAACUAAUGUAGGUAACCUGUGUAAUGUGUUUGAUGUGUUUGACAAAACCCUCCUUAGUAGAAAGACUAUAGCCGAUGUAACGCCAGAUGAUGUCUAAAAUAGACUAUGUAACAUAAUGUAGGCUAAAGGCUAUAUAACAAAAGGAUACUAAUUCAAGUCUUUGAUAGGAGGAGAUCGUUAAAUUCAAGAAAUAGCCUACAUGAAAUACAUGAUGACGUUAGCCAGCAGCCUAUUUUUUUUUAACCGUCAUAAUUAGCCUAACUUUCCUGAGAAGAGUAUCCUUCUGCCGGGGUCAGUGAGGGAGCAUAGAGACACCAGCGGUUUCAUCUGCUCUUUGGACACAACAGCUGUGUCUUCAUAUCACCGUAAAUUGACUUAUUUUCUUUUUGACAGCAUCAAUGCUACGCUGGAUGCCGGAUAUGCGGCAGAGACUGUGUCCGAUAUUUUAUCCCACUCUCUCCCCAGUUAAGCGUUAGGCCUAUGUGGAUUUUGAUUUCUUACAAACACCUCUGAGUCAUCUGACUUGAAGUUCAAUGAUAGUUGUUGUUUCUGCUGUUGUUUCUGGAUUUCCUAACCUGAGAUAAGAUGAAGUUCCUGUUCAUGUUGACUCCAACCUCUGCAACAGCACAAGUUUACAAAAGUAAAAAAGGGGGCAGGAAGGGAAGGAGAGAGAACCGAGGAUUAACGAGCUAAUGUGGUAGUUUUCGGGUGAACUUCGACCUGGGGACAAGGGAUAACUACAAGCUCCGUGAGUGAAGUGCUGCCAUCCUGCUCCUGUACUGAGGUUGUCGCCUGGACUGUUUCCGACCUGGAGACGAGGGAUAACUACCAAGCUCUGUUCACUCACCUCUGUCCUCCAUUCCGCCAGCUGGGCUCGCCACCCUGCCCUCUCCCAUCGGACCUCUUCCACGGCUUCCUCCCGGCUCCCCCCCGUGCUUAGCCAGUCAGCCUGCCACCACACUCCUCCACCAACCCCCCGGUCAGUCGUUCCGUGCCUCCUUACUUCCUCGGUCCCCAGUGCCCCCGGCUCCGUUGUCUCUGUCUCCUCGGUUCCCCGUGCCCGAGUUUCCCCGGGGUCCGCCUCUCCCUC